rnacentral:rRNA from 1 species
UACAGAGGUGGCAAGCGUUGUUCGGAAUUACUGGGCGUAAAGGGCGCGUAGGUGGCCUUCUUAGUCAGACGUGAAAUCCCCGGGCUUAACUCGGGAACUGCGUCUGAUACUGGAAGGCUGGAGUUCGGGAGAGGAAUGUGGAAUUCCAGGUGUAGCGGUGAAAUGCGUAGAUAUCGUAAGGAAGACCAGUGGCGAAGGCGGGUCUCUGGACAGUUCCUGACGCUGAGGCACGAAGGCCAGGGGAGCAAACGGG